AACAGGAUUAGAUACCCUGGUAGUCCACGCUGUAAACGAUGUCGACUUGGAGGUUGUGCCCUUGAGGCGUGGCUUCCGGAGCUAACGCGUUAAGUCGACCGCCUGGGGAGUACGGCCGCGAGGUUAAAACUCAAAUGAAUUGACGGGGGCCCGCACAAGCGGUGGAGCAUGUGGUUUAAUUCGAUGCAACGCGAAGAACCUUACCUACUCUUGACAUCCAGAGAAUUUGCUAGAGAUAGCUUAGUGCCUUCGGGAACUCUGAGACAGGUGCUGCAUGGCUGUCGUCAGCUCGUGUUGUGAAAUGUUGGGUUAAGUCCCGCAACGAGCGCAACCCUUAUCCUUUGUUGCCAGCACGUAAUGGUGGGAACUCAAAGGAGACUGCCGGUGAUAAACCGGAGGAAGGUGGGGAUGACGUCAAGUCAUCAUGGCCCUUACGAGUAGGGCUACACACGUGCUACAAUGGCAUAUACAAAGAGAAGCGAACUCGCGAGAGCAAGCGGACCUCAUAAAGUAUGUCGUAGUCCGGAUUGGAGUCUGCAACUCGACUCCAUGAAGCCGGAAUCGCUAGUAAUCGUAGAUCAGAAUGCUACGGUGAAUACGUUCCCGGGCCUUGUACACACCGCCCGUCACACCAUGGGAGUGGGUUGCAAAAGAAGUAGGUAGCUUAACCUUCGGGAGGGCGCUUACCACUUUGUGAUUCAUGACUGGGGUGAAGUCGUAACAAGGUAACC
rnacentral:rRNA from 1 species